AGAUUAAGUUAUUAAGGGCGCACGGUGGAUGCCUUGGCACUAGAAGCCGAUGAAGGACGUUACUAACGACGAUAUGCUUUGGGGAGCUGUAAGUAAGCUUUGAUCCAGAGAUUUCCGAAUGGGGAAACCCAGCAUGAGUUAUGUCAUGUUAUCGAUAUGUGAAUACAUAGCAUAUCAGAAGGCACACCCGGAGAACUGAAACAUCUUAGUACCCGGAGGAAGAGAAAGAAAAUUCGAUUCCCUUAGUAGCGGCGAGCGAAACGGGAAGAGCCCAAACCAACAAGCUUGCUUGUUGGGGUUGUAGGACACUCUAUACGGAGUUACAAAGGACGACAUUAGACGAAUCAUCUGGAAAGAUGAAUCAAAGAAGGUAAUAAUCCUGUAGUCGAAAAUGUUGUCUCUCUUGAGUGGAUCCUGAGUACGACGGAGCACGUGAAAUUCCGUCGGAAUCUGGGAGGACCAUCUCCUAAGGCUAAAUACUCUCUAGUGACCGAUAGUGAACCAGUACCGUGAGGGAAAGGUGAAAAGCACCCCGGAAGGGGAGUGAAAUAGAACCUGAAACCGUGUGCUUACAAGUAGUCAGAGCCCGUUAAUGGGUGAUGGCGUGCCUUUUGUAGAAUGAACCGGCGAGUUACGAUUUGAUGCAAGGUUAAGCAGUAAAUGUGGAGCCGUAGCGAAAGCGAGUCUGAAUAGGGCGUUUAGUAUUUGGUCGUAGACCCGAAACCAGGUGAUCUACCCUUGGUCAGGUUGAAGUUCAGGUAACACUGAAUGGAGGACCGAACCGACUUACGUUGAAAAGUGAGCGGAUGAACUGAGGGUAGCGGAGAAAUUCCAAUCGAACCUGGAGAUAGCUGGUUCUCUCCGAAAUAGCUUUAGGGCUAGCCUCAAGUGAUGAUUAUUGGAGGUAGAGCACUGUUUGGACGAGGGGCCCCUCUCGGGUUACCGAAUUCAGACAAACUCCGAAUGCCAAUUAAUUUAACUUGGGAGUCAGAACAUGGGUGAUAAGGUCCGUGUUCGAAAGGGAAACAGCCCAGACCACCAGCUAAGGUCCCAAAAUAUAUGUUAAGUGGAAAAGGAUGUGGCGUUGCCCAGACAACUAGGAUGUUGGCUUAGAAGCAGCCAUCAUUUAAAGAGUGCGUAAUAGCUCACUAGUCGAGUGACACUGCGCCGAAAAUGUACCGGGGCUAAACAUAUUACCGAAGCUGUGGAUUGUCCUUUGGACAAUGGUAGGAGAGCGUUCUAAGGGCGUUGAAGCAUGAUCGUAAGGACAUGUGGAGCGCUUAGAAGUGAGAAUGCCGGUGUGAGUAGCGAAAGACGGGUGAGAAUCCCGUCCACCGAUUGACUAAGGUUUCCAGAGGAAGGCUCGUCCGCUCUGGGUUAGUCGGGUCCUAAGCUGAGGCCGACAGGCGUAGGCGAUGGAUAACAGGUUGAUAUUCCUGUACCACCUAUAAUCGUUUUAAUCGAUGGGGGGACGCAGUAGGAUAGG
rnacentral:rRNA from 1 species